rnacentral:rRNA from 1 species
AACGAACGCUGGCGGCAGGCCUAACACAUGCAAGUCGAGCGCCCCGCAAGGGGAGCGGCGGACGGGUGAGUAACGCGUGGGAACGUGCCCCUUUCUACGGACUAGCCGCGGGAAACUGGGAGUAAUACCGUAUAAGCCCUACGGGGGAAGGAGUUAUCGGGUAGGGAUCGGCCCGCGUUGGAUGAGGUAGUUGGUGGGGUAAUGGCCUACCAAGCCGACGAUCCAUAGCUGGUUUGAGAGGAUGAUCAGCCACACUGGGACUGAGACACGGCCCAGACUCCUACGGGAGGCAGGAGUGGGGAAUCUUAGACAAUGGGCGCAAGCCUGAUCUAGCCAUGCCGCGUGAGCGAUGAAGGCCUUAGGGUUGUAAAGCUCUUUCAGUGGGGAAGAUAAUGACUGUACCCACAGAAGAAGCCCCGGCUAACUCCGUGCCAGCCGCCGCGGUAAGAC